UCAUUAGACCUGUGCAAGGGUGCGUCAAGACAUUGUGUCAGGGCAGGAAUGCAGCAGCACACCUAGGCGUACUUUGUGCCGCAGGUAUCUGAUGGGGA
rnacentral:SRP_RNA from 1 species